UUUAAUUCCUAACCUUGCAUGAGAAGGGAACAAGUGGCCAAGUGGGCUUUUAAUAUUCAUUAACUACUUAGGAAACUUAGUGACCAAGUUUAGCAUUAAACAAAAGCAUUUCCUCUCUCUUCCUCCCCUCUCAUUUUCGUCCAUCUCUCUCUCCCUCUCUACUCUCACUAUUUUCUUUUCAAUCCAUCAUGGAAGAACACUCCAAAGCUUCUAAACACAUAGAUCCACCAUCACCAUUCCUAGAGCUAGCCUUCAAUCACCAAGAAUCAAGAGAAUGAUCAAGCUAGAGUUUUCAAACCCAAGUGGAUCAAAGAGUUCGCCAUUUUCUUAAAUAUUGAGGGUAAGUGGAUCAACCUUAAGAUUCCUUAAAUCUACCUCCAUUUCUUGAUGUUUUGAUGGAAGAAAACAAGAAAAUCAAACCCCUCCAUCAUUUCUCUAAUUUUCGAAAAUUGGGGGUAUUUUUACCCUUCAAAUAUUUUCACUUUCUUUUCUUAAAUCGAGGCAAUAAUUAUGUAAUUUGAGAACCUAUUGAGUUGAUAUCCAUGAGUUUUAAAAGGAUUAGAAAGGAUUUUGAAUUUUCAAAGAGUUUAGUUUGCUAAAUUUGGGAAGUUUUGGAUUUGAGGUUGAUUGAUGAAUUGAUGGAUGAUAUAUGCUUUUGAGAGUGUUUAUAUGAGAUUUGAUGGAUUGGAUUGAUGGUUGAAAUUGAUUAGUAAUUUUUUAUAUGAGUUAGUUUGAUGUAAUUUGGGUAAAAUUGAUUCUAUGGUUUAAUUUACUAAUUGAUUGCUUAUUUAUGCUAUUAAGUGUGCCAAUUUGAUUAAUCUAAGGUUUGAUUAAUGAUUUAUGUAUGUUUGUAGAUUUUCAAAAAGUUUAGUUUGUUAAAAAUUGGGACUUUGUGAUCUAUGUGUUAAUUGAUUAAAUUGGCUAAGUUUAAUUGUUAUUAAGCAUGAUAGAAAUGAUAAUUAGGGAUCAAUUUGGUUAGAUGUCAAGAAUGCCUAAAAUUGGUUAAGUUUAGUUUGCUAAUAAUUGGGAACUUUUGAUUAAUGAGAUAAAUACUUGAAUUGAUGAUGUUUAUAUGUUAGUUAGACUACUAGCAAGGAGAAAGCAUGAUUAAUUUGGUUAAUGAUGUUGAUUUGUGAAAAUUUCUCGAGUUUAGUUUGCGUGCAUACAUGAGAUCUUGUAUAUAAGAUGAGUUAUGAGUCGAGCAUGUUUAUAUAUGGCUAUUUGAUGAUAAAUUGAGCUUGUAUAUGCGAUAUGAGACUAAACGGACCAACUCCUAAUGACUUAUGUGUUGGCCGAAUGUAAGGAGAAAAAGGGGAAGUCGAUGUUUGAAUUUUCUUGAGUUAUAUGAUCAUGUAUUUAUGUUAUUGUGAUUUAUAUGAGCUUAAUUUGAAUUUUUGAGAUUUUUCAUAAGAAGUCCGGAAUUUAGGUAUAUUUGCUUUAUGCUCAAGUGGGAGUUAAUUUGAAACUUUUUUAAAGGCUACUGACCUACUGUUUUCGACCGAUUUUGAUUCAAAAGCCAUGAAAUUUUAUGGUAAGUAUAUUUGAGAGUUAGCACACGGUAAAAUUUCAAGUCAUUUGGACUUCGUUUACUAUUUUUAUAAAAAUACAAACCCUAAACUGCACUUUACUACCGAGAAUUUCAGAGAACAGGGUAAAGAGUCAUUAUUUUCAGUAGCUUCCUGUGUGAUAUAGCUUUCCAAAAUUUUAUGGUAUUAACCUUAUUUUGUUAUCUAGAUAUCCACUAAAUUUGAUCCCAGUUUGACAACAUUUACUAUUUUUCAAAAAUCCAAGUUUUCGAUUGCUCAAAACUGCGGAAUAUGGUAGAUCGUGGUAAAAAUGACAUAUCUCCCAAACCACUUGGAGUUUUUGACUCUACUUUUUUUUAAUUAUGAAACUAGACUCGAAGAUAUUUCUUUUGGUCUGAGUCUCGAGUCCACGGAGAUGUCGGAGUCAGAACAGGUUAAUUUUUGAAGUUGAGUCAGUGUAAAAACAGAGCAUGUUUUGAUGGUGCAUGAUUAUUAUCUCUUAUGUGAACAUGUGAAUUUCUAAAUGAUAUUAAGUUUAAGGAUGUUAUUCUAUUUGUUUUUAUGGUUAGUGAUUAUGUGGUUAGUCGAGGUUAUGUUGGUUUUUGAUUGUUUUAAUCGAAACGACUUAUGGAUGCUAGAACCCUAAAAUACUAAAAGAUACCCUAGACACGUAGAAUUAGACUUUGUCUUGUGACAAUUUUCUUCACGAACUUACCGACUCUUCAUCAAUAAGGGUCCGGGCGACAGGAAAUGAAGCCGAAGAAGAAGCGACUCCACGCUAGCUUAAGAACGUUUGAGGUGGGCAUUAUUUUAUUAUUACGUAUAUAGAGAUCCCCUGCGUGACGUAGGCCUCAUAUGCGAAUAUAUAUGCAUGAUAUGUUUUGACUAUUUAUUCAGUUCUUAUGAAAUGCUUAUAUGUUUAAUGCCCUUUAUGAAAAUGAAAAUGUUAUGAAAAUGAAAUGUUUAUGAAAUGAUUGACUGCCAAAAUGUUUAUGUUUUUAUAUGUAUCCUAUCUGUGUUGGUUCGCCAACUUUAAAGGAAAUCCAAUUGGGAUCCUAUGCUAGACAAAGGUCGCUAGCUAGGGUUAACGUGUACACUCAUGGAGAUCGCGAGUCGCUUGCGACCGGUCUUGGCGUCCGUGGUAAGGAGGCCUCCUUCCCGGCGCGUGAUAGAAAGGACAGAUAUGGAUCAUAUAGACUGAAAAUGGGAUGCAUCCAUCUUUAUGAAAAUGAACGAAAUGUUUUAGUAAGCGCAGGUCAUUUAUGAAAACCCCUGUGUGUUACUGUUAUGGCAGUUCAAUUUAUAUAUGUAUGCAUGUUGUAUUUCGGCUUAUGUCACUGAGUAUUUUUAUACUCAGCCCUGCAUGUAUUUCUAAAUGUGCAGGUUGAGCAGGCGAUGGAAUGGAUCGGUGUUGAGCGGAUUUCUCUUUUGAUGUUUAUGUAAUGAAACCUUGAGUAUGCAUCUCCAUAUGCAUAACUCACACGUUUUUCCGCUGCAAACACUCUGACUUAUUUAUCAUUUCUACUUGAACUUAUUACUACUUCAUUUUAAUUAACUUUCAUUUGGGGUCUAGUCGUUAUGGCAGGCUCGUUUGUUAAUUACCCAAG
rnacentral:lncRNA from 1 species